rnacentral:lncRNA from 1 species
UCUUGACCUUGUGAUCCGCCCGCCUCGGACUCCCAAAGUGCUGGGAUUACAGGCGUGAGCCACUACACCCAGCCAAAACACCUAUUGUAUACAGGCCUGGGCUAAAGGCUGAGAUGGCCCCGCAAAUAAGGGAGAAGCAGAGACUGGCCUGAAGUCCUACAGCACAACCUAGACAACAGCAGGGCCUCAUCUGGACUCAUCAGUAUAAAGAAACUCCCUCCCUAACAGGAGCUGGGCAGGGCGCUUCAACCCAGGCAACCUUGGAUGAUUAUCUGCCCUCUCUGAGCCUCUCCUCCAAGUUUUCACCUAUAAAAGGGACAGCUGAGGGUUCAACUCAACCCAGGCCCAAUGAGCCCAAUCCCUACCAGCCAUUCCUCAUGCUUCCCUCACCCCCACAUCCUACAUCUCCUGCAGCUAAGCCUGGCCAAGAGCAGCACUGGUGCAGGCCCACAGUAGCUAGAGAGGGAACCUAGCACCAUGCCCUCAGGAAAGCCCCAGGCAGGCAGACCAGCAACGGCCUUACCCUGCUGUCAGCUGCCACAGAGUCACAAGACUGGCCAGGUGAUGUCCAUUUGCUGCAUGCUGGCCUAAGCAAGAUUCUGUAUACUCUAACUCACAGCCACCCUGUUAGGUGGGUUCUGUUGCCAUCCCCAAAUUAUAGGGAAGAAACAGGUUCAGAGAGGGACAGUGACUUGUCUCAGGCCACACAGCAGGUAAGUAUCAGAGCUGAGAUUCACACCCAGGGCCUGCCUGAGCGAUUUCCUUGCAAAUCAUCCUUCUCACCCAGCAGGGUGACAUCAUUGUGAUGGUUAUACCCACAUAGCACCUACCAUGUGCCCCUCUCUGUUCUAAGCACUUUACGUGUGUUUAUAUAUUUUAUCCACACAA